rnacentral:lncRNA from 1 species
AGUCCUCUGCUCUUCCGCCUGGAUAGCUGCGGUCACACUUACUGCCAGGUUGACAUAAUCUGGUGUCAAGAAGUGGGACCAAAGUGAGCUCACCUUGAUGGAUCGGUGACUCCUGGAAUCACAUGAAGUUCCCACAUUGAGCCCCUUUGAGCUCUCCAAUCCUACAGCUCACCUUUUCUGUCAUGGUGAAUCUCCUCUCAGGUUCUUGAACUCCCUCAUUUUGGUGAGUUCUUUUGACUUUCUUUGGGAUUUGUUUUGGAUAAUGGCUG